GACGAACGCUGGCGGCGUGCCUAAUACAUGCAAGUUGAGCGCUGAAGGUUGGUACUUGUACCAACUGGAUGAGCAGCGAACGGGUGAGCAACGCGUGGGGAAUCUGCCUUUGAGCGGGGGACAACAUUUGGAAACGAAUGCUAAUACCGCAUAAAAACUUUAAACACAAGUUUUAAGUUUGAAAGAUGCAAUUGCAUCACUCAAAGAUGAUCCCGCGUUGUAUUAGCUAGUUGGUGAGGUAAAGGCUCACCAAGGCGAUGAUACAUAGCCGACCUGAGAGGGUGAUCGGCCACAUUGGGACUGAGACACGGCCCAAACUCCUACGGGAGGCAGCAGUAGGGAAUCUUCGGUAAUGGACGAAAGUCUGACCGAGCAACGCCGCGUGAGUGAAGAAGGUUUUCGGAUCGUAAAACUCUGUUGGUAGAGAAGAACGUUGGUGAGAGUGGAAAGCUCAUCAAGUGACGGUAACUACCCAGAAAGGGACGGCUAGCUACGUG
rnacentral:rRNA from 1 species